UACGUAGGGACCAAGCGUUGUUCGGAUUUACUGGGCGUAAAGGGCGCGUAGGCGGCGUGACAAGUCACUUGUGAAAUCUCCGGGCUUAACUCGGAACGGCCAAGUGAUACUGUCGUGCUAGAGUGCAGAAGGGCAAUCGGAAUUCUUGGUGUAGCGGUGAAAUGCGUAGAUAUCAAGAGGAACACCUGAGGUGAAGACGGGUUGCUGGGCUGACACUGACGCUGAAGCGCGAAGCUAGGGAGCAAACGG
rnacentral:rRNA from 1 species